ensembl:lncRNA
CGUCGCGUCGCGGCCGCCGUCCCCUUUCACGGGCCUUCCAGGUAGCUGUUGUAGGUGGUGGGGAGAGGGAGCGCGGGUGGAAAACUACCCCUCCAGAAGGGCAGCGUGCCUGGGGCUUGCCCCUGCCCGAGGUCUCGCCGCGCACCGACGCGGAGGGAUCGCUCCGCCACCGCGGGGAGUUUUAAAAGUUGUUUCUUAGCGGCUGAGUAACUUUUUUUUCCAGUUGCAUUUCGGCAUCUUCCGUUGGAGAUGGUAGGGCAGACGGCUUUCUCUUCUCAUCCUCGUGCUCUUGAGAUUUUCCCUCUUGGACUGGUGCAGGGUUUUGUUCCUGUACAAAAAAGGCGAUACAGCUCUGCUGGCAUUAUCCACCUUCUCAACACCCACUCAGAAGCGUCAAGUAGAAGUGUCUGACAAGAUGAAAACUUGCAACAGAGUUCAAGUGUUUCAUGCAACUUCCUGCAUUCAAUCAACGCUGAAAUGCUCAAACAAAUGGAAAAAAAUAAGCCAUCUCCCAAAUACUGGAAUUAAAUGAUGUUCUCAGUAAUGGUAGUGGCAGUGAGUAACAGGACAACGUGACUUGUCUGUAAAACCUUUCUUCACUUCAGAAUAUUACCUGGAGGACUUUAUACAGAACAUAAAUCUCGAGGUCCUUCGGAGAUUAGGCCUUGAGUGUGCCACGUUCGUGUGAUCCUUUGGAAGGCAGUAUGGGGUAGAACUGAGCUUGUUGUCUAUGCGUUACAUGGCUGGAAGAGAAAAAACACUUCCCUCCCUUCUGAGCAGAAUUUCUAGUUACAUUGCAACAUGAGUUAUCUCCCAUGAGAACUAGCUAGAAGUUAAAUUAGUUUAACUUCACUAGAGUUCAUCCUGACAAUAUGCAACACAAAAGUCAAUCUAAAGCAAUCAGUAUAUUACCUGUCAUAAAUAUCCAAGGCUUGGACACACGGAUUUGAAGAUUUUUAAUUAGCAAAGUACAGUCACUCAGUCAUUAAUAGUGUUAGUAGUUUUGUUGCCGUAUUAUGCUGCAACAAGAUUUACGUUUACUUGUAAGUUAGACACAUUAGACACUGACCAGUAAUGGGGGUCUGAUCUUUGAAAGGCAAAGCCUUGUGUAUAUGAAUCAACAUUACAUCAAAAAGUACAGAAGGUCCUGAAUCACUCAAAAGGUUGUUCAUAUCCAAAUACGGCUUUCUGAAGAGCCAAAAUAUUAUUCUUCCUGUCCAAACCAUGAAUACAAUUUUUUUUCCAAUGAUAUGCUGACAUUGUUUACUGACACUAUUUGUCUAGCUAAGAUGAAUUGAUAGGAUUUUUUGUACUUUUUGUCAAGAUGGAUUUCCAUAUUAUAUUAAGCAGGUGAAUUUAGAAAUGUACUUUUGCUAGCUGGGAAAGCAUACUAAUUAUAGAUAAUUAAAAAAAAUGAAUAUAAGCUACCUUGCAAGAAACAAAAUAUCAUUAAAAAAACCUAUAUCUUUAUAUUAACUAUCAUUAUAAGAGAUAGGAAAUUGAAAGUAAGAACUGAAGUACUUAAUAUCUACUUGCAUUUUAGCUAAACUCAAUCAGGAAGAAGAAUCCACGCAUAACAGAAUUGCUGGUUUAUGUCACUGCUAGCAGCAUACGGGUUUAGUAUCAUUAAUCUAGAAAAUAACGGACCGUGUGACAAUUUUCUAUUUUCUAUCUCCUAAAGAUUACUUUGGGGCACUAGUUUUCCAUUAUUUCAUAGUUCCAUUUCAGUAUGUCCAAACAUUUCUCCUUAUGGAAAUGUGUAUGGAUGUUGUGAAAUCUGCAGUGUUGUGAAACCUGUGUACAGUGAUUUGGACUGGAAUCAUUUGAGUGGCAGAUGAAAAACAAAAAUAAAUGUAACUAUGUAAAAGGAAAAAUACA